rnacentral:lncRNA from 1 species
GGUCUAGAUUGUUACACAUAUACUAAUAAAUAUAUAGCAAAAUAAAGUGAUUGCAACUCUAUCUACAAUACACUCGCACUUCUUAUUGAACAUUGCACAAGCACCAUAUAAUUAAAAUUACCAUAUCCCAACAAUCUAUAUUUCUAUUGAAUUGUCCAACCCUACAAAUUAAUCUUGCCAAGAGAUCUUGGUUAUAUUUUCGAUCUCUUGUAGUGAUCAAAU